UAAAUCCUGAGAUGUUCGUCAGACCUGUAAUUUCAACCGACAGAUUUAAUAAGGGAGUCCGCGUCGAGGUAAUGAUGCAAUGUCUGCAAUGGUAGAACUGCAGAGGUACUUCGUAGGGCACCCACCUGCAGAGAGUGCGGGUAUGAAAUUAACAGGCAGCGGCAUAUUGGGAGUUUU
rnacentral:other from 1 species